rnacentral:rRNA from 1 species
CUUAGAAGCAGCCAUCAUUUAAAGAAAGCGUAAUAGCUCACUGGUCGAGUCGGCCUGCGCGGAAGAUGUAACGGGGCUAAACCAUGCACCGAAGCUGCGGCAGCGACACUAUGUGUUGUUGGGUAGGGGAGCGUUCUGUAAGCCUGUGAAGGUGUACUGUGAGGUAUGCUGGAGGUAUCAGAAGUGCGAAUGCUGACAUAAGUAACGAUAAAGCGGGUGAAAAGCCCGCUCGCCGGAAGACCAAGGGUUCCUGUCCAACGUUAAUCGGGGCAGGGUGAGUCGACCCCUAAGGCGAGGCCGAAAGGCGUAGUCGAUGGGAAACAGGUUAAUAUUCCUGUACUUGGUGUUACUGCGAAGGGGGGACGGAGAAGGCUAUGUUGGCCGGGCGACGGUUGUCCCGGUUUAAGCGUGUAGGCUGAUUUUCCAGGCAAAUCCGGAAAAUCAAGGCUGAGGCGUGAUGACGAGGCACUACGGUGCUGAAGCAACAAAUGCCCUGCUUCCAGGAAAAGCCUCUAAGCAUCAGGUAACAUCAAAUCGUACCCCAAACCGACACAGGUGGUCAGGUAGAGAAUACCAAGGCGCUUGAGAGAACUCGGGUGAAGGAACUAGGCAAAAUGGUGCCGUAACUUCGGGAGAAGGCACGCUGAUAUGUAGGUGAAGCGACUUGCUCGUGGAGCUGAAAUCAGUCGAAGAUACCAGCUGGCUGCAACUGUUUAUUAAAAACACAGCACUGUGCAAACACGAAAGUGGACGUAUACGGUGUGACGCCUGCCCGGUGCCGGAAGGUUAAUUGAUGGGGUUAGCGGUAACGCGAAGCUCUUGAUCGAAGCCCCGGUAAACGGCGGCCGUAACUAUAACGGUCCUAAGGUAGCGAAAUUCCUUGUCGGGUAAGUUCCGACCUGCACGAAUGGCGUAAUGAUGGCCAGGCUGUCUCCACCCGAGACUCAGUGAAAUUGAACUCGCUGUGAAGAUGCAGUGUACCCGCGGCAAGACGGAAAGACCCCGUGAACCUUUACUAUAGCUUGACACUGAACAUUGAGCCUUGAUGUGUAGGAUAGGUGGGAGGCUUUGAAGUGUGGACGCCAGUCUGCAUGGAGCCGACCUUGAAAUACCACCCUUUA